rnacentral:ncRNA from 1 species
GUGGGCGCUGGAGAAUUGAGGGGGGCUGCUCCUAGUKACGAGAGGACCGGAGUGGACGCAUCACUGGUGUUCGGGUUGUCAUGCCAAUGGCACUGCCCGGUAGCUAAAUGCGGAAGAGAUAAGUGCUGAAAAGCAUCUAAGCACGAAACUUGCCCCGAGAUGAGUUCUCCCUGAGACUUAAAGUCUCCUGAAGGAACGUUGAAGACGACGACGUUGAUAGGUCGGGUGUGUAAGCGCAGCGAUGCGUUGAGCUAACCGAUACUAAUGAACCGUGAGGCUUAACCUU